GCCUACGGGAGGCAGCAGUAGGGAAUCUUCCACAAUGGGCGAAAGCCUGAUGGAGCAACGCCGCGUGGGUGAAGAAGGUCUUCGGAUCGUAAAACCCUGUUGUUAGAGAAGAAAGUGCGUAAGAGUAACUGUUCACGCUUCGACGGUAUCUAACCAGAAAGCCACGGCUAACUACGUGCCAGCAGCCGCGGUAAUACGUAGGUGGCAAGCGUUAUCCGGAUUUAUUGGGCGUAAAGGGAACGCAGGCGGUCUUUUAAGUCUGAUGUGAAAGCCUUCGGCUUAACCGGAGUAGUGCAUUGGAAACU
rnacentral:rRNA from 1 species